rnacentral:rRNA from 1 species
CCUACGGGUGGCUGCAGUGGGGAAUAUUGGACAAUGGGGGCAACCCUGAUCCAGCCAUGCCGCGUGUGUGAAGAAGGCCCUCGGGUUGUAAAGCACUUUCAGUGAGGAAGAACGCCUGGUGGUUAAUACCCAUCAGGAAAGACAUCACUCACAGAAGAAGCACCGGCUAACUCCGUGCCAGCAGCCGCGGUAAUACGGAGGGUGCGAGCGUUAAUCGGAAUUACUAGGCGUAAAGCGCGCGUAGGUGGCUUGAUAAGCCGGUUGUGAAAGCCCCGGGCUCAACCUGGGAACGGCAUCCGGAACUGUCAAGCUAGAGUGCAGGAGAGGAAGGUAGAAUUCCCGGUGUAGCGGUGAAAUGCGUAGAGAUCGGGAGGAAUACCAGUGGCGAAGGCGGCCUUCUGGACUGACACUGACACUGAGGUGCGAAAGCGUGGGUAGCAAACAGGAUUAGAUACCCCAGUAGUC